UUAAGUUCAGCGGGUAUUCCUACCUGAUCCGAGGUCAACCUUCAGAAGUGGGGGGUUUAACGGCGUGGCCGCGCUGCUUUCCGGUGCGAGGUGUUGCUACUACGCAGAGGAGGCUACAGCGAGACCGCCACUAGAUUUCAGGGCCGGCUCGUCCGCUGACGGGACGGGCCGAUCCCCAACACCAAGCCCCGAGGGGCUUG
rnacentral:misc_RNA from 1 species